rnacentral:rRNA from 1 species
UACGGAGGGUGCAAGCGUUAGUCGGAAUUACUGGGUGUAAAGGGCGCGUAGGCGGGGAGGUCAGUCAGCUGUGAAAUCCCGGAGCUCAACUCCGGAACGGCAUCUGAUACUGCUUCUCUCGAGGAUAAGCGGAGGAAACGGAAUUCCACGUGUAGCGGUGAAAUGCGUAGAUAUGUGGAAGAACACCCGUGGCGAAAGCGGUUUUCUAGCUUAUACCUGACGCUGAGGCGCGAAAGCAAGGGGAGCAAACAGG